rnacentral:rRNA from 1 species
AUGGUCCGCACGAUGACCGAAGGCAUCGUGAAUAGGUUUUUGAGCUCCGCGAAGGCCAAGAUGCUUCAAAAGAAUGAGACGGAGAUAAGAUGUCCGUGUCGAAGAUGCAAGCUGAAGAGCCUUAUGGACCCGGAUUCCGGACAGGUGCGGGACCACCUGCUCUUGCGUGGUUUCAUGGAUGGCUAUCGGUGGCAAGGUGAUGAAGAUGAUUAUGAAGUUGUCCAUGGGGCCGGGCAAGAAAUAAGGAAUGGCAGCAAGACAACCGCGGUGAGGGCGGGCGAGAAGACGAAGAAUCUCCAGGACAUGAUCACAAAGUAG